GACGAACGCUGGCGGCGUGCCUAACACAUGCAAGUCGAACGGAAUUAAGUUUAACACCGAAUGUUUCAUUUGGUGGGACACCGGUAAAACAGUCGGUGUUGGACUUAAUUUAGUGGCGGACGGGUGAGUAACGCGUGAGUAACCUGCCUUACAGAGGGGGAUAACGUCCGGAAACGGACGCUAAUACCGCAUAACAUAUUUGGGCUGCAUGGUCUGAAUAUCAAAGGAGCAAUCCGCUGAAAGAUGGACUCGCGUCCGAUUAGCUAGUUGGUGAGAUAAAGGCCCACCAAGGCGACGAUCGGUAGCCGGACUGAGAGGUUGAACGGCCACAUUGGGACUGAGACACGGCCCAGACUCCUACGGGAGGCAGCAGUGGGGGAUAUUGCACAAUGGAGGAAACUCUGAUGCAGCAACGCCGCGUGAGGGAAGACGGUUUUCGGAUUGUAAACCUCUGUCCUUGGUGAAGAUAAUGACGGUAGCCAAGGAGGAAGCUCCGGCUAACUACGUG
rnacentral:rRNA from 1 species